GACAGAGGGGGCAAGCGUUGCUCGGAAUUACUGGGCGUAAAGGGCGCGUAGGCGGGAUGGUAAGUCGGUCGUGAAAAGCCUUCGGCUCAACCGAAGAACGUCGGCCGAAACUGCCAAUUCUUGAGGGAUGCAGAGGAGAGCUGGAAUUCCCGGUGUAGCGGUGAAAUGUGUAGAGAUCGAGGAGGAACACCUGCGGCGAAGGCGGGUUGCUGGGCUGACACUGACGCUGAUGCGCGAAAGCCCAGGGGAGCGAAACGGG
rnacentral:rRNA from 1 species